CUGGGGUGGCACCUAGGGAGGCAUGGGAGUUCUGCACUGGUUCCUUGCCUCACGGGACUCUGCUUCUAAGGGUCAUUGUUCCUCUAUUAUAUUCUUCAUGAUAAAGGAGUCAUUGCAGUAGCGGUCUGUGAAUGAACUGAGCCAGAAGAGGAGAGGGUGUAGGAAGGUCAGAAGCACUAGGAAGACAACCCCCCACUUUGGUGGCUGCUGAAGUCGGAGGCUGGGGGAUCUCCACUUGCGGAUGGCCUUGGCUGGGGGAUCCAGAGUCCGAGCAGGGCUGAGAGCGCCACCUGGUGACCAAGUUUGUAAGUAAGAUGGUGGAGCUCAACAGUCAGCUUGGAGCCAAGGAACUCUUGCUGGUUAUGGGGCUACUGCCCAAUGCAGCCUGACGCAACUCCUAAUGACUGGAGGCUAUUACCCAAGGCUAGCCAAGUGCUCUAACAUUGACCUGCAGCCCCAGCCCACCCAGCUCUCUCUGCCUCCACAAAUUCAGACACAGGUCAAGCUCCAUGCCCCAGUUCUUAGCAAAACAACAACCUUCUUGGUCGCAGAUAUAUGCAAAUAGGCUUGUAUCUGUCUAGCUCCCAGCAGGACUCUUUUCUGAGAGCUACUUGGAGUUAUCCUGAUAAAAAGGACGCUUUACGGGGUUGUUAAUAUGUGUGGCUUAUUAUCUCCCAGAACCUGCUUGGCA
rnacentral:lncRNA from 1 species